GACGAACAGCUCAGUAACUCUUAUUUUAUUUGAUGUAUUAGGAUUAUAACUAUGUUAAAUUAUAGAUAACAAUAAUACAAUAAGAAUAAGAUCUAUCAGUUAGUUGUUAAGGUAAUGGCUUAACAAGACUAUGACGGAUAACGGUAUUACUUUGUAAUAUUCCGGAGAAGGAGCCUGAGAGAUUGCUACUAAGUCUAAGGAUUGCAGCAGGGGCGAAACUUGACCUAUGAUAUGAUAUUGAGGCAGUUAUGAGUAGUAUUUUUAAUUAUUGUAGUAUUGUAAGUAUAUACUACAAGAUAAAUCGGAGGGCAAAUCGAGUGCCAGCAGCCGCGGUAAUACUUGUUCCGAUAGUGUGUAUGAUGAUUGAUGCAGUUAAAAAGUCUGUAGUUUAUUAUUAAUAAGCAUUGUGAGGUAUAUUGUAUGGUUAGGAGAGAGAUGAAAUGUGAUAACCCUAACUGGAUGAACAGAAGCGAAAGCUAUAUACUUAAAUGUUUUAUUAGAACAAGGACGUAAGCUAGAGGAUCGAAGAUGAUUAGAUACCAUUGUAGUUCUAGCAGUAAACUAUGUUAAAUCAUAGAUACAUUAUUAAUAUGUAUUUAUGUAAAGAAAUUAAGAUUAUAUUGACUCUGGGGAUAGUAUGAUCGCAAGAUUGAAAAUUAAAGAAAUUGACGGAAGAAUACCACAAGGAGUGGA
rnacentral:rRNA from 1 species